UAGGGAAUCUUCGGCAAUGGGGGUAACCCUGACCGAGCAACGCCGCGUGAGUGAAGAAGGUUUUCGGAUCGUAAAGCUCUGUUGUAAGUCAAGAACGGGUGUGAGAGUGGAAAGUUCACACUGUGACGGUAGCUUACCAGAAAGGGACGGCUAACUACGUGCCAGCAGCCGCGGUAAUACGUAGGUCCCGAGCGUUGUCCGGAUUUAUUGGGCGUAAAGCGAGCGCAGGCGGUUUGAUAAGUCUGAAGUUAAAGGCUGUGGCUCAACCAUAGUUCGCUUUGGAAACUGUCAAACUUGAGUGCAGAAGGGGAGAGUGGAAUUCCAUGUGUAGCGGUGAAAUGCGUAGAUAUAUGGAGGAACACCGGUGGCGAAAGCGGCUCUCUGGUCUGUAACUGACGCUGAGGCUCGAAAGCGUGGGGAGCGAACAGGAUUAGAUACCCUGGUAGUCCACGCCGUAAACGAUGAGUGCUAGGUGUUGGAUCCUUUCCGGGAUUCAGUGCCGCAGCUAACGCAUUAAGCACCCCGCCUGGGGAGUACGACCGCAAGGUUGAA
rnacentral:rRNA from 1 species